GCUGCAGGGGGAGCUAUGUCGUGAAAAAAUGCGAGCCCAAAUCAGGCGAAAACCCAGAAACAGCAAAGGAACCAGACCUGCAUAGGGCUUCUAUAAAAGACUGAUUGGGUUUCACUGAACUGUCCUAGAAACAUCAGAACUUUGACAAUCACGGACUUGUCCAAAAGACUGAUCUCAUGCUGCUUUGCCUUGCCAUUAAGCACUGUUAAGUUCAUACAUGUCAUGUCAGAUCUAGCUUCAUGAAACUGUUGCAGAACUGUCCGAUUGUUAAAAGCACAAUUAACUCAGUUAUAGGGCAGACUGGUGUUUUAUUUUCAAUGAAAAAGAUUAAUAUUUGUUUGAAUGCAGUUUCUAAUAUACCCAGAAAGCUAUGUACCAAAUUAUUGCAGCAUUUCAGAGUUGCAGUAAAAUUGGGGCCCAGCCAUUAAGAGACAUGCGAGAAUGUCUUUCCAGAUUUGAGUCCAGCUUUAAAUGUAUUUCUCACAUAGCAACUUGCAAGGACAUGACAAAUGUAAUUAACGAAGACAGGAUACUCUCAAAAAGACCUUGUUGGAUUUACUUAACACAGUUCUGUCAACAAUGUCCACAAGUUAUGAUUUUGAGUGUAAUUGUAUGUGCUGCUUUUGUUAAUGUUUAUCAGGAUACGAUUUAUUAACUAUGAGCUCAGCUCAUUGAGCUGCUUGUAUGCCGUCUCUCACAAUACACAUCCACAUAAAAGAUAAAAGCAUGGAGUACGGUA